rnacentral:rRNA from 1 species
UGGGGAAUAUUGGGCAAUGGGGGAAACCCUGACCCAGCGACGCCGCGUGAGGGAAGACAGCCUUCGGGUUGUAAACCUCUUUUGUACGGGAAGAAGGAAGUGACGGUACUGUACGAAUAAGUCCCGGCUAACUACGUGCCAGCAGCCGCGGUAAUACGUAGGGGACGAGCGUUGUCCGGAAUUACUGGGCGUAAAGGGCGCGCAGGCUGUGCUGCAAGUCAGCUGUGAAAUGUCUGGGCUUAACCCGGGCAUGCGGUUGAGACUGCAGUGCUGGAGUGCUGUAGAGGCAAGUGGAAUUCCCGAGUGUAGCGGUGAAAUGCGUAGAUAUUGGGAAGAACACCGGUGGCGAAGGCGACUUGCUGGGCAGCAACUGACGCUGAGGCGCGAAAGCCAGGGGAG